GACGAACGCUGGCGGCGUUCUUAACACAUGCAAGUCGAACGGAAAGGCCCUGCUUUUGUGGGGUGCUCGAGUGGCGAACGGGUUAGUAACACGUGAGUAACCUGCCCUUGACUUUGGGAUAACUUCAGGAAACUGGGGCUAAUACCGGAUAGGAGCUCCUGCUGCAUGGUGGGGGUUGGAAAGUUUCGGCGGUUGGGGAUGGACUCGCGGCUUAUCAGCUUGUUGGUGGGGUAGUGGCUUACCAAGGCUUUGACGGGUAGCCGGCCUGAGAGGGUGACCGGCCACAUUGGGACUGAGAUACGGCCCAGACUCCUACGGGAGGCAGCAGUGGGGAAUAUUGCACAAUGGGCGGAAGCCUGAUGCAGCAACGCCGCGUGCGGGAUGACGGCCUUCGGGUUGUAAACCGCUUUCGCCUGUGACGAAGCGUGAGUGACGGUAAUGGGUAAAGAAGCACCGGCUAACUACGUG
rnacentral:rRNA from 1 species